rnacentral:rRNA from 1 species
GGAGCAACGCCGCGUGAACGAUGAAGGUCUUCGGAUCGUAAAGUUCUGUUGUCAGGGAAGAACAAGUACCGUGCGAAUAGAGCGGUACCUUGACGGUACCUGACGAGGAAGCCCCGGCUAACUACGUGCCAGCAGCCGCGGUAAUACGUAGGGGGCAAGCGUUGUCCGGAAUUAUUGGGCGUAAAGCGCGCGCAGGCGGUUCCUUAAGUCUGAUGUGAAAGCCCACGGCUCAACCGUGGAGGGUCAUUGGAAACUGGGGAACUUGAGGACAGAAGAGGAGAGUGGAAUUCCACGUGUAGCGGUGAAAUGCGUAGAUAUGUGGAGGAACACCAGUGGCGAAGGCGACUCUCUGGUCUGUUUCUGACGCUGAGGUGCGAAAGCGUGGGUAGCAAACAGGAUUAGAUACCCUGGUAGUCCACGCCGUAAACGAUGAGUGCUAGGUGUUAGGGGGCUUCCACCCCUUAGUGCUGAAGUUAA